rnacentral:rRNA from 1 species
AGGAUGAACGCUGGCGGCGUGCCUAACACAUGCAAGUCGAACGAAGAGGUCCCUUCGGGGAUACUUCAGUGGUGGACGGGUGAGUAACACGUAGGUGACCUACCCCGAAGUGUGGAAUAACAGUCCGAAAGGAUUGCUAAUACCGCAUGUGGUCUGUGAGGUUAGAGUCUUGCAGACUAAAGCAGUAAUGUGCUUCGGGAGGGGCCUGCGCCCCAUCAGCUAGUUGGUAGGGUAAUGGCCUACCAAGGCUACAACGGGUAGGGGGCCUGAGAGGGUGACCCCCCACAUUGGCACUGACACACGGGCCAAACUCCUACGGGAGGCAGCAGUGAGGAAUAUUGCUCAAUGGGCGAAAGCCUGAAGCAGCAACGCCGCGUGCGCGAUGAAGGCCUUCGGGUCGUAAAGCGCUUUUGUGAGGGACGAGAUAGGACGGUACCUUUCGAAUAAGUCACGGCUAACUACGUGCCAGCAGCCGCGGUAAAACGUAGGUGGCAAGCGUUAUCCGGAUUCACUGGGCGUAAAGCGCGUGCAGGUGGCUUCGUAAGUUGGACGUUAAAUCUCCCGGCCUAACCGGGAGGGGUCGUUCAAUACUGCGGGGCUGGAGGGCAGAAGAGGGGGGUGGAAUUGCUGGUGUAGUGGUGAAAUGCGUAGAUAUCAGCAGGAACACCUGUGGCGAAAGCGGCCCCCUGGUCUGCUCCUGACACUCAGACGCGAAAGCUAGGGGAGUGAACGGGAUUAGAAACCCCGGUAAUCCUAGCCGUAAACGAUGGAUGCUAGGUGUGGGUGGUAUUGACCCCAUCCGUGCCGAAGCCAACGCGUUAAGCAUCCCGCCCGGGGACUACCGCCCGCAGGUUUAAACUC